rnacentral:rRNA from 1 species
GAUGAACGCUGGCGGCGUGCCUAAUACAUGCAAGUCGAGCGAACGGACGAGAAGCUUGCUUCUCUGAUGUUAGCGGCGGACGGGUGAGUAACACGUGGAUAACCUACCUAUAAGACUGGGAUAACUUCGGGAAACCGGAGCUAAUACCGGAUAAUAUUUUGAACCGCAUGGUUCAAAAGUGAAAGACGGUCUUGCUGUCACUUAUAGAUGGAUCCGCGCUGCAUUAGCUAGUUGGUAAGGUAACGGCUUACCAAGGCAACGAUGCAUAGCCGACCUGAGAGGAUGAUCGGCCACACUGGAACUGAGACACGGUCCAGACUCCUACGGGAGGCAGCAGUAGGGAAUCUUCCGCAAUGGGCGAAAGCCUGACGGAGCAACGCCGCGUGAGUGAUGAAGGUCUUCGGAUCGUAAAACUCUGUUAUUAGGGAAGAACAUAUGUGUAAGUAACUGUGCACAUCUUGACGGUACCUAAUCAGAAAGCCAAGGCUAACUACGUG